GUUUGAUGUGUCCAGGCACUUCAUAAGGAGAAUUCUUUGGAGGAUUUCUUACUCUUUCGUUGGUCAAGGAUGCAGCAGCAGAGUGACCUCCCGUGUUAAUAAAGCUCCUGCUUUCACGCUUGAUGUUUCAAGAUGAACCAUGAGCCAAGGU